CGGGUGAAGGGAGCAUCCGUGAUCCAGCCAUGCCGCGGUGCAGGAAGACUGCCCUAUGGGUUUGUAAACUGCUUUUAUACAGGAAGAAAAAGGUGUACGUGUACACUGUUUGACGGUACUGUAAGAAUAAGGAUCGGCUAACUCCGUGCCAGCAGCCGCGGUAAUACGA
rnacentral:rRNA from 1 species